GAUGAACGCUGGCGGCGUGCCUAAUACAUGCAAGUCGAGCGAACAGACGAGGAGCUUGCUCCUCUGACGUUAGCGGCGGACGGGUGAGUAACACGUGGAUAACCUACCUAUAAGACUGGGAUAACUUCGGGAAACCGGAGCUAAUACCGGAUAAUAUAUUGAACCGCAUGGUUCAAUAGUGAAAGACGGUUUUGCUGUCACUUAUAGAUGGAUCCGCGCCGCAUUAGCUAGUUGGUAAGGUAACGGCUUACCAAGGCAACGAUGCGUAGCCGACCUGAGAGGGUGAUCGGCCACACUGGAACUGGGACACGGUCCAGACUCCUACGGGAGGCAGCAGUAGGGAAUCUUCCGCAAUGGGCGAAAGCCUGACGGAGCAACGCCGCGUGAAUGAUGAAGGUCUUCGGAUCGUAAAACUCUGUUAUUAGGGAAGAACAAAUGUGUAAGUAACUAUGCACGUCUUGACGGUACCUAAUCAGAAAGCCACGGCUAACUACGUG
rnacentral:rRNA from 1 species